GACGAACCGUGCGAACGUUGUUCGGAUUCACUGGGCUUAAAGGGCGCGUAGGCGGGUUGUCAAGUCAGGGGUGAAAGCCUCCAGCUCAACUGGAGAAGUGCCUUUGAUACUGAUGAUCUUGAGGGAGGUAGGGGCAUGUGGAACUUCCGGUGGAGCGGUGAAAUGCGUAGAUAUCGGAAGGAACGCCGGUGGCGAAAGCGACGUGCUGGACCUCUUCCGACGCUGAGGCGCGAAAGCUAGGGGAGCGAACGGG
rnacentral:rRNA from 1 species